UUCGGGUCGUAAAGCUCUGUCCUAUGGGAAGAUAAUGACGGUACCNUAGGAGGAAGCCCCGGCUAACUACGUGCCAGCAGCCGCGGUAAUACGUAGGGGGCAAGCGUUAUCCGGAAUUACUGGGCGUAAAGGGUGCGUAGGCGGUUUAUCAAGUCAGGGGUGAAAGGCUACGGCUCAACCGUAGUGAGCCUCUGAAACUGGUGAACUUGAGUGUAGGAGAGGAAAGUGGAAUUCCCAGUGUAGCGGUGAAAUGCGUAGAUAUUGGGAGGAACACCAGUGGCGAANGCGACUUUCUGGACUACAACUGACGCUGAGGCACGAAAGCGUGGGGAGCAAACAGGAUUAGAUACCCUGGUAGUCCACGCUGUAAACGAUGAGUACUAGGUGUCGGCUGUCAAAGGUCGGUGCCGGCGUUAACACAUUAAGUACUCCGCCUGGGGA
rnacentral:rRNA from 1 species